GAUGAAGAACGUAGCGAAAUGCGAUAAUUAAUGUGAAUUGCAGAAUUCCGUGAAUCAUCGAGUCUUUGAACGCACAUUGCGCCUCAUGGCAUUCCGUGAGGCAUGCCCAUCUCAGCGUUAGAAAAUAUUCUCAAAUUUUAGUUUUGUGCUAAAAUUUGGAUCAUGUCAAAGAAGCUAUUACUAUUAUUGUGAUCGCUCUUUGGAAAUUGAUAGGUCUUUGAGUUGCUACUCAUAGAACGUGAUGAAUCUUUCUUCAUUCUAUUGUAAUUCACUCUGGUAGUCCUAAAACUUGUAUGCCUGUAGCAUAUCUUGUAAUUUGACCUGAGAUUGGGUAGGGAUACCCGCUGAACUUAAGCAUAUCAAUAAGCGGAGGA
rnacentral:misc_RNA from 1 species